GUUAGUGACAUGCAAGGGUGAAAACAUCAAGGAUUGUCCACUGACAUUCAAGGUGUUUGCCAACAGAAAUUCUAUCACAGUGCCAGAGAUAGGACACUGUAAGCUGGGCAGUCCUAACACUAUCACGAUUGACAGUAGGAAGGCAGGCCAGGUGGAGCUGAAGGUGGAAGCCAGAGCUCCCAGUGGACGAAUUAUGCACCUCUCCACCAAGGAGACAAAUGGAGUACACGUGGCAGAGUUUGUCCCUAAUGAAAUUGGCGACUGGCAGAUUUCUGUGAUGUAUGACGGAGACCACGUCAGCGGCAGUCCUAAAACAAUUAAGGUGUUUGACACCAGUAAUGUCAAGAUCUAUGGUCUGGAGGCUGGACAAGUAGGAGAACCCAUGCACU